UACGGAGGAUGCGAGCGUUAUCCGGAUUUAUUGGGUUUAAAGGGUGCGUAGGCGGAACAUUAAGUCAGCGGUAAAAUCGAGGGGCUCAACCCCUUUAAGCCGUUGAAACUGGCAGUCUUGAGUACAGUAGAGGUGGGCGGAAUUCGUGGUGUAGCGGUGAAAUGCUUAGAUAUCACGAAGAACUCCGAUUGCGAAGGCAGCUCACUGGACUGCAACUGACACUGAGGCUCGAAAGCGUGGGGAGCAAACAGG
rnacentral:rRNA from 1 species